rnacentral:rRNA from 1 species
AAGUCGUAACAAGGUUUCCGUAGGUGAACCUGCGGAAAGAACGCAGCGAACCGCGAAAUGUAAUGUGAAUUGCAGAGUUCGUGAAUCAUCAAAUCUUUGAACGCAUAUUGCGCUGCUUGGAAUUCCAGGCAGCAUGUCUGUUUGAGCAUCUGUACCCAUCAUCAGUGCCUCGUAGUAGGAAGGUCAACUGGAAGGUUGACGCGAAUACUACCUGGUCUGGGCUUGGUCCUCAACGUGUAGCAACGUAAGGACUUAACUGCAUGUGGCCGCAACCAACGGUCAAGCGGGUCGACCUUGUGUUUACCCAACUCCCUUCCUAAUUGAAGAACAUUUCCUCGAUACUCAGGAUUGCGAGUCCCAAGUGAGGCUGCCUUUGGGCCACCUCCUUACCAUAUGAUCUCAAAUUAGACAAGACUACCCGCUGAACUUAAGCAUAUUAAUAAGCGGAGGAAAAGAAACCAACAGGGAUUCCCUCAGUAAUGGCGAAUGAAGCGGGAAUAGCUCAAAUUUGAAAUCUCUUAGGAGAAUUGUAGUUUGUAGAGGUGAAUGGGAUGGUAAUCUGGGCAUAAGUCCUUUGGAAUGAGGCUUCAUAGAGGGUGAGAAUCCCGUAAAUGGCCCAGGACCUACCUUCUUAUAUUUACUUUCAAAGAGUCGGGUUGUUUGGGAAUGCAGCCCAAAGUCGGUGGUAUAUUCCAUCCAAAGCUAAAUAUUGGCGAGAGACCGAUAGCAAACAAGUACCGUGAGGGAAAGAUGAAAAGAACUUUGAAAAGAGAGUUAAAAGUACGUGAAAUUGCUAAAAGGGAAACGAUUGAAACCAGUGUUGUUGUUGGGGAAUCAGCUGUCUGGGCAACUAGAUGGUGCACUUCCCUAACAGCAGGUCAACGUCAGUUAUUGUUAGGGUAAAUUGUCGCAGGAAUGUAGCUGCUUGCAGUGUUAUAGACUGCGACUGUCCUCUGGCGAUGACUGAGGCUUGCAGCGUGCCCUUGGUUUACACAAGAGCGCUCAGGAUGUUGACGAAAUGGUUUUAAACGAC